CGGAACGCGGCAACUGGGCUCCGCGGCGGCCAUUUUGGUUCUAUUCGUUUCCGGCGGAAGUGACGUUUGAGCUCGUUUGGAAUCUAGGGACAAACAUUGGAAUCUAGGGACAAACAUGUACAGAUUUGUCAUGUUUUAUUUCCAUAUGGUGUGUAUGUGGAUUGCAAAGAAGAAGGCUACUUCUGACAAAGAUAAUUGAGAAUUUAGCAUACCUAGCGAGGAGAAUUUAAUUGCAACAACUACGUGAAGCUAUGCUGUGAAGCAGCCACCCAGUCCCAGCGGCGCUGCCGUAUCCAUGCUGCAAUGCCACUGCUGGCGUUGUGUUGUGAUGGCCACAGUGACAUGAGGGUGGACUUCAGGCUCACCGAGUCAUUCAACGCCCUCAUGGCUGUGCUGGGCACUGACUGACCACGGUUGGGGCCCCGAGAUCUCCUGUCUAGUUUUUAUUUGUUGGCUUGCCAGCGCCACCUCCUAUCGGGUGGUGGCCAGGGCCUUCGACAGGCCCCGGGCUCAGUGCAUGAUGCCAGGGUCCUGAAUAA